rnacentral:rRNA from 1 species
CCUACGGGGCGCAGCAGUGGGGGAUAUUGCACAAUGGGGGGAACCCUGAUGCAGCGACGCCGCGUGGGCGAUGGAGUGCUUCGGCAUGUAAAGCCCUAUCAGCAGGGAAGAAAAUGACGGUACCUGACUAAGAAGCCCCGGCUAAAUACGUGCCAGCAGCCGCGGUAAUACGUAGGGGGCAAGCGUUAUCCGGAUUUAGUGGGGGUAAAGGGAGCGUAGACGGCUGUGCAAGUCUGAAGUAAAAUGCCGGUGCUCAACCCCGGAACUGCUUUGGCAACAGUACAGC